rnacentral:rRNA from 1 species
GACGAACCGUCCAAACGUUAUUCGGAAUCACUGGGCUUACAGAGUUCGUAGGCGGUCCGGUAAGUUGGGUGUGAAAUCCCUUGGCUCAACCAAGGAACUGCGCUCAAUACUGCCGGACUUGAGGGAGAUAGAGGAGAGCGGAACUGAUGGUGGAGCGGUGAAAUGCGUUGAUAUCAUCAGGAACACCGGUGGCGAAGGCGGCUCUCUGGGUCUUACCUGACGCUGAGGAACGAAAGCUAGGGGAGCAAACGGG